UCUUUCAGGAUACUGUCAGUCGUUUUAAAGAUGAAUAUAUUUACAGACACAUCAUAGACACUGAACUGAAGGAACAUGUAUUUCUCCAUUGGUUGCACACAUUGCAACUUCACGAUUUCUACAAGAGCAGACAAGAUCAAUCAACAACUCAUACCCAUGCCACUGAAGCUGAUUCUCAUACCUCUGAAGCUGAUUCUCAUACCGCUGAAGCUGAUACCCUUACCACUAAAGCUGAUUCUCAUACCACUGAAGCUGAUAUUCAUACUACUGAAGCUGAUUCUCAUACCACUGAAGCAGGAGAAAGUACUGAAGACCAGACUGAUGCUAAAACUAUUGCUGUGGCAGAUACAGAGUCAAAAAUUUAAAAUUUACACAGAAAA